GCCGGAUCAAUGGCGCGCAGCACGUUUUCCGCUGAGAAAAACCCGUCGAACCUGAUCCGGAUAAUACCGGCGUAGGGAUUUGAGAGUGUCACUCAC
rnacentral:ncRNA from 1 species